CUGUGAAUCUUUAAGACCUCUUGUUAAAAUGCAGAUUUUGUUUCAGCAGGUCUGGGUGAGGUCUGAAAUUCUGCAUUUCUAUCAAACUACAAAGUGAUGAAGAG
rnacentral:pre_miRNA from 1 species